GAUUUGUUCUGGAGCUGAAGUUACUUCUGUUGGAAUAGUUUGCUCUGAAGCUGUAGUGACUUCUGCUGGAGUAAUUACCUCUGGAGGUAUAGUUACUUCAGCGGCAGGAAUUUCCUCUGAAACUAUUGUUACUUCAGCUGUAGUAAUUUCCUCUAGAGCUGAAGUUACUUCUACUGGAGUAGAUUCCUCUGGAGCUGUAGUGACUUCUGAUUGAUAAUUUCCUCUGGAGCUGUCGUUACUUCAGGUGGAGUAACUUCCUCCGGAGCUGAAGGUACUUCAGCUGGAGUAGUGUCCUCUGGAGCUAUAGUUACUUCAGGUGGAGUAACUUCCUCUGGAGCUGUAGUUACUUCUGCUGAAAAAGUUUCCGCUGGAGCUGUAGUUACUUCAGGCGGAGUAACUUCCUCUGGAACUGUACUGAUUUCUGCUGGAAUAGUUUCCUCUGAAGCUGUAGUUACU